GCAUUGCUGAAGAGUCCCAACCCGGACGAAACAACCGUCAAGUAC
rfam:Schistosoma margrebowiei strain Zambia genome assembly, scaffold: SMRZ_scaffold0004438